rnacentral:rRNA from 1 species
ACGAACGCUGGCGGCGUGCUUAACACCUGCAAGUCGCACGAUGAAGCCAGCUUGCUGGUGGAUUAGUGGCGAACGGGUGAGUAACACGUGGGUGAUCUGCCCCAAACUUUGGGAUAAGCCUGGGAAACUGGGUCUAAUACCGAAUAUGACCGAUACUCGCAUGGGUGUUGGUGGAAAGCUCCGGCGGUUUGGGAUGGGCCCGCGGCCUAUCAGCUUGUUGGUGGGGUAAUGGCCUACCAAGGCGACGACGGGUAGCCGGCCUGAGAGGGCGACCGGCCACACUGGGACUGAGACACGGCCCAGACUCCUAUGGGAGGCAGCAGUGGGGAAUAUUGCACAAUGGGCGCAAGCCUGAUGCAGCGACGCCGCGUGAGGGAUGACGGCCUUCGGGUUGUAAACCUCUUUCACCAGGGACGAAGCGAAAGUGACGGUACCUGGAGAAGAAGCACCGGCCAACUACGUG